AUUGAACGCUGGCGGCAGGCCUAACACAUGCAAGUCGAACGAGUGGCGGACGGGUGAGUAAUGUCUGGGAAACUGCCUGAUGGAGGGGGAUAACUACUGGAAACGGUAGCUAAUACCGCAUACCAUCGGAUGUGCCCAGAUGGGAUUAGCUAGGAGGUGGGGUCACGGCUCACCUAGGCGCCGAUCCCUAGCUGGUCUGAGAGGAUGACCAGGCACACUGGAACUGAGACACGGUGCAGACUCCUACGGGAGGCAGCGGUGGGGAAUAUUGCACAAUGGGCGCAAGCCUGAUGCAGGCAUGCCGCGUGUAUGAAGAGGGCCUUCGGGUUGUAAGGUACUUUCAGCGGGGAGGCGUUACCCGCAGAAGAAGCACCGGCUAACUCCGUGCCAGCAGCCGCGGUAAUUC
rnacentral:rRNA from 1 species